CCUACGGGAGGCAGCAGUAGGGAAUCUUCCACAAUGGACGAAAGUCUGAUGGAGCAACGCCGCGUGAGUGAAGAAGGUUUUCGGAUCGUAAAACUCUGUUGUAAGGGAAGAACAAGUACAGUAGUAACUGGCUGUACCUUGACGGUACCUUAUUAGAAAGCCACGGCUAACUACGUGCCAGCAGCCGCGGUAAU
rnacentral:rRNA from 2 species